rnacentral:tRNA from 2 species
GAAUCCUUUCAUGUAAGAAUUAACUUACAGGUAGUACUUGCAUUUAAAUGAUAUUAUUUUAAGAUUACUAA